rfam:Necator americanus N_americanus-1.0_Cont109.42, whole genome shotgun sequence.
GGCGCGAUGGCCGAGUGGUUAAGGCGUUGGACUUAAGUUCCAAUGGACGUACGUCCUCGUGGGUUCGAGCCCCACUCGCGCCA